rnacentral:rRNA from 1 species
UACGUAGGCAGCAAGCGUUAUUCGGAAUUAUUGGGCGUAAAGGGCGCGUAGGCGGCCUGGCAAGUGGAAGGUGAAAUCCCUCGGCUUAACCGAGGAACUGCCCUCCAAACUGCUUGGCUUGAGUCCGGGAGAGGUGAGUGGAAUUCCCAGUGUAGCGGUGAAAUGCGUAGAUAUUGGGAGGAACACCAGUGGCGAAGGCGGCUCACUGGACCGGAACUGGACGCUGAGGCGCGAAAGCGUGGGGAGCAAACGGG